CAUGGAGGAAAAAGGAAAGACGGCUUCUGCUGUCACUUACAGAUGGGCCCGCGGCGCAUUAGCUAGUUGGUGGGGUAACGGCUCACCAAGGCAACGAUGCGUAGCCGACCUGAGAGGGUGAUCGGCCACAUUGGGACUGAGACACGGCCCAAACUCCUACGGGAGGCAGCAGUAGGGAAUCUUCCGCAAUGGACGAAAGUCUGACGGAGCAACGCCGCGUGAGUGAAGAAGGCCUUCGGGUCGUAAAACUCUGUUGCCGGGGAAGAACAAGUGCCGUUCGAACAGGGCGGCGCCUUGACGGUACCCGGCCAGAAAGCCACGGCUAACUACGUGCCAGCAGCCGCGGUAAUACGUAGGUGGCAAGCGUUGUCCGGAAUUAUUGGGCGUAAAGCGCGCGCAGGCGGCUUCUUAAGUCUGAUGUGAAAUCUUGCGGCUCAACCGCAAGCGGUCAUUGGAAACUGGGAGGCUUGAGUGCAGAAGAGGAGAGUGGAAUUCCACGUGUAGCGGUGAAAUGCGUAGAGAUGUGGAGGAACACCAGUGGCGAAGAGCGGCUCUCUGGUCUGUAACUGACGCUGAGGCGCGAAAGCGUGGGGAGCAAACAGGAUUAGAUACCCUGGUAGUCCACGCCGUAAACGAUGAGUGCUAAGUGUUAGAGGGUUUCCGCCCUUUAGUGCUGCAGCUAACGCAUUAAGCACUCCGCCUGGGGAGUACGGCCGCAAGGCUGAAACUCAAAGGAAUUGACGGGGGCCCGCACAAGCGGUGGAGCAUGUGGUUUAAUUCGAAGCAACGCGAAGAACCUUACCAGGUCUUGACAUCCUCUGACCUCCCUGGAGACAGGGCCUUCCCCUUCGGGGGACAGAGUGACAGGUGGUGCAUGGUUGUCGUCAGCUCGUGUCGUGAGAUGUUGGGUUAAGUCCCGCAACGAGCGCAACCCUUGACCUUAGUUGCCAGCAUUCAGUUGGGCACUCUAAGGUGACUGCCGGUGACAAACCGGAGGAAGGUGGGGAUGACGUCAAAUCAUCAUGCCCCUUAUGACCUGGGCUACACACGUGCUACAAUGGAUGGUACAAAGGGCUGCGAGACCGCGAGGUUAAGCCAAUCCCAGAAAACCAUUCCCAGUUCGGAUUGCAGGCUGCAACCCGCCUGCAUGAAGCCGGAAUCGCUAGUAAUCGCGGAUCAGCAUGCCGCGGUGAAUACGUU
rnacentral:rRNA from 2 species